GCGCAGCAGUCGCGAAAACUUCACACUGUGCGAAAGCACGAUGAGGGAAUCCCAAGUGCUUGCACGUAAGUGUAAGCUGUUUCUCUGUCUAAAACGCAGAGAGAGUAAGGGCUGGGUAAGACGGGUGCCAGCCGCCGCGGUAAUACCUGCAGCUCAAGUGGUGACCGUUAUUAUUGGGCCUAAAACGUCCGUAGCCGGUUUAAUAAAUGCCUGGGUAAAUUGUGUAGCUUAACUAUACGAAUUCCGGGUAGACUGUUAAACUUGAGACCGGGAGAAGUUAGAGGUACUCCUGGGGUAGAGGUGAAAUUCUGUAAUCCUAGGGGGACCACCAGUGGCGAAGGCGUCUAACUAGAACGGGUCUGACGGUGAGGGACGAAGCCCUGGGGCGCAAACGGGAUUAGAUACCCCGUAGU
rnacentral:rRNA from 1 species